rnacentral:misc_RNA from 1 species
UUGGUGUUGAUAAACUCCCAGUCUGUAACACAGUUCAUGAGAAAAAAAAAAUAGUAGAGGGGAUAAAUCAUUGAAAAGAUGCCUAAAGAGUGAUGUACAAUGUGCAUUUCAUGUUUGGUUGGUGUUUUAAGCUCUAUAAAGUAUCAUUUUCUUCAAAUUGUUGCAACUAUCUGCUCCAUUUAAUUGAGCUUUUGUUUUGAUAGGAGAAAAGGUAAAAAUUAUGAAGAAUCUUACAAUAUAUUUUUGUAGCAUUUUUGUCAGCGACUAACUGGCAGCUCCAAGGUGUUUGUUAAUGCUUUGGGCUUCACAAGGUAAGCAAGUGUGAUUUGUGAUGGUGUAGAGUUUGGAACUUCUUCUCGAAAGGGUACUUCAAACAGAAGGGAUUCGUAUAGACAGACCUCAUCUUCUUUACAAUAGUAGACCUUGCAAUUUAUUCUCCCAGUUGAAGCUGAGGCAGAGGAUCUCCUAAAGUGAAGUAUUGCUAUUCCUUCUGGACUAAGAUAUCCAUCUGUGGGAUCAAUCAGAACUGCACCUUCAGGCUCAGUUUCGACAAUAAAUUUACUGCGUGCUUCCUUCGAAAAAUGGUACUCUUCAGGUAAUGAUAUUUUGAGACGAAGGUCUCCCUCCCUAGAUGAACUACUGUCAAUUUUAAUUGUCUGUGUGUCAGCAGAUGGUCGUCUCCUAAGGCGUUUCAAAGAUCGGGAUUUUGGUGCAGGAGGCUGAACUCCUUUCAGCUCCAAAGUAAGAAGUUGAGCUUCUUCCUUGUUCAAGUCUAUGUAUCGGAUAACACUAUUAUUUGUAUCAGCUAUAAUAAGUCUUCCAUCUUCAGCCUCAAUGAUUCCAGAUGGCUCCGAGAGCUGAGCAGCCAGUGCUUUACCAUCCUUGAAACCAGCUUUCCCCGUCCCUGCUAUUGUACUAACUCUUCUAGUAGCUGGAUCUAGCUUCUUUAUCUUGUGAUUAUAGCUAUCUGCUAUAUAUAUUUGACCAUCCUUUGCACAUAAUACACCUAGUGGAUGUUGAAGAAGUACUUCAGAUCCUAUUCCAUCAUGGUCACCAAACUUAAACAAGUUGUCAGGAAAAAAUGGAUCACCACCAGCUAGCAGCCUUGAUCCUCCUGUUUUCAGAUCAAGUGCUCGAAUGGAGCUACUCUCACUAUCAGCAACAUAUACCUCCUUCGAAUCAGAAGAUGGUGAAAUUCCAGAAGGUUGAGCGAAUGAUGUGCUCGUGGAGCUUGAUCCAUUCAAGUUUCUUUCAUAACCAUCACCACUGAAAGCUAUAGUAACUCCAUCUAGAGUAUUGUGCUCCCAUAUCUGAUGCUGUCCAGCCAUCGCAAUAUAGAUUUUUUCAUUGACUGGCUCGAAGCAGACAUCCCAUGGAGAGUUGAGAAGCUGAGUCAUUCCUUUUCCUCCCCCUUUAUAGUCAGAACCUUUGGCUCCAUUCCCAGCAAGAGUCCGCACCCUCUCAUUCACAAAAUCAAUCUCCCUCAAAGCAUGGUUUUCAGUAUCUGCAACAUAAAGGAGAUUUUUCUUUGCAUUGUAAGCCAAGCCCUGAGGGCGAUUAAACAUGGCUUCAUCAAAGGAGCCAUCACGUAAACCUUCCUCUCCAGUGCUCCCAAUUUGGACAAUGAAGUUCCCAUCUAGAUCAGUGACCACUAUGCGGUUAUGGUUACUAUCUGAAAUAAACAGUCGGUUAUUAAGCACAUCAAUUGCCAGCUUUCCAGGAAACUUCAAAAGAGAGGAAAACAAACGAGAAUCAUUAUCUUUCUCCAAAACCAGGGGAAUUGGCGUGCCAUCUAGGAGUUUCUUCCCACCAUAGUACAGAAGAGCUGCCUCCACCAAAUCAUCAAGAUCCUUUCUAUGGCCUUCUCCUGAUAUUUGCGCAAUAAGCUUACCAUUGGGUCCAACAAUGGCAAAUGUAGGCCAUGAAUUAAUACCUAGCUCGCGCCACAAAUUCAUAUCUCCAUCAUUGACAACUGGGUGAGAGAUGUUAUAGCGUAAGACAGCAUUGCGGAUUGCUUCUAAAUCUUUCUCAUUGUCAAACUUAGCUGAAUGUACUCCCACAACAGUGAACGGCAUAUCUUUGUAUUUUUUUUCCAGAAACUCUAGAUCUGGCAGCACAUGCAUACAAUUUAUACAACAAUAGGUCCAAAAAUCCAGCACAACCACCUUGCCUUUCAAUUCCCUGCGAAAUUGAAGUGGCGCUGUAUUCAGCCAAUCAAGUUUAGUUGGAAAUUCUGGCACAAUGCGAGCAGUUCCCCUGGUUUCUAGAUCAGAUAUAUAGUUUACGAACUGUUGAACUCUUGAAUAUUCUGACUUAUCUGUACCUUCAUUCUGCUUAAAAUCUUGUUUAUUAACUCCAAACACCAAAUUCCAUAUAGCUUGAGGGGAAGCAUAUUGCAUUGCCUUCCAGUUUGUGAUGGUGAAGAACAGACAAGAAAAAGCAAUCCCCAAACUUCCAUAUCUCAAUAUAUUGCGCCGAGAAGCCCAAAACCCCCCAACUGAGAAAACUUCAUCACUGGCAGCAAUAUUAUUAACAACUGACCCGUUAUCUGUUCUUUCUUUGAGUAUCGCUGCUGAACUCUGUACAGAAGUAUGCAGAACCUGAGGUCCCUGUAUCAUCUCAUCUGCAAUGGUACAUCUUUGUUAGAUUCCAUUGUGCCAGAAUACAGUCUUAACUACUAACCAGUCUAAAAACUGCUAAGAGCUCAAUAAAUAUGUAUCCUUGUUUUCCAUCUUAAGAAAAGUCUAAAAUAACAAUAAUAAACUCAAUCGAUAAUGUACAACAGAGCACCUUAGUUUUAAUGGAGAAAAAAUUUUCAAUACAUAGAAAAUCCAUUACAAAAAAAUGUUUUGGAAUUCUUAAAACAUGACGUAAAAGCAGUGUCAUCGUUCCAAAUUAUUGAUGGUACAAAGUGACAUCUUCAGAACUACAUACUAUAGCCAUCAGAUCCACCACUGAGAAUAUCAUCAAGUGAAAUACUUCCUAUAUCAUUUCUGAUAAGGGAUGGACUGGCAUUCUUCAGAGUCUCUUCCGUCAAUGUAGUUUUCACAGCUAUGCAUCUACAAGAUGGGCAGAAUGCCAUAGAUUAGCAAUCAAUUGAAUAAAAAAGUGAAACCCAUACGAAAAAUGCAGUAGAUUAGCACAGGGGAAAAGAAAUCUAAUGUGUCUCCUGUGUUGAGACAAUCUUGAAAUCCAUUUCCACACUUAAUCACUAAAGAUGUCCUAAUGAAACCAAAUACAUGUGUUAUUGGAAAUUCAUCUCAUCUGUGCAGCUUGUACACCAGCUAGUGCAUCUUCAAUAACAGUACAUACACCGCAAAAAUCAGCAAAACAUUUUAAUUAAGAUGAAAAGAAACCAAACACAGGUAAAACUCAACCGACUUAGAGAAAUUCUAUGAAAUUAUAUUAAAAAAAAUGAAAUUCAGCUGACAAAAUUCACUAGCUUUAUGGCCACAAGAUGAUGGAGAAAAUCUCUUCCCCAGGGCAAAGUAAAGUUAAAAGACCACACAUUAACCACAUAAAGAAGCAGUCCAAUGCAUAAGCUUAUGUUGACAAUUUUCAGUUUUUGUAAUACAUUCAAAAAACAUUUUCAAUGACUAAAACUAAGUUGUUUCUCAGUAUUCUCUCAAAAUAUGUCUCUGUCAUGAAUCAUGUACUUUAUCGCAAUUUUUAUGAAUUAACUUACAAAAAAAGAAAUAGAAAAUAGAAAAUUGCUUCAACUGCUUUCAUAAUUUUAAUGAUUUAAAAUAAUAUUUAAGUCAAAAUUUAUAGCAACUUAAUGAGAGAAUAAAAUUGCAAACACAAUAGUAUACCUCACUAGUGGGCACAUUCAAGAUUUUAGAUGCAGCCAAGAAAAUGUCAGGAGCUGGUUUCAAAUUCUCAAAAGCAUCUGCUGACACAAUAGCAUCGAACAUUGACAAUGGCAACCCAGCAGCUCCUAAAUUUGCAUCAACUUUGAUACGAUCAGCACUAGAUGCAACUGCAACUUUGAGACCUUUCCCUUUGCACUGAGUAAUGAGUUCAAGGGCACCUGGGAAUCCUAUUCCAGAAUUUGGUUUUGCAUACUUUUCUAGAUAUAUCUCAAAGAACCUCUUUUUUGCUGCCUCAUUACUGAAUCCCUUCACUCCCUUAACAUUAGCCACACCUCCUAAGAAGUUUGCUUCACCUGUGCCCAUGAAUGGCACAAAAUCCUCCACUGUGACUUCAACUCCCAUCUCAGCGAAAACAUCCACAGCUGCCAUUCUAGAAGGCUCUUCACUGUUGCAUAACACUCCAUCCAUAUCAAAAAGCACUGCAGAGACCUUCCCCCACUGACUUCCUGCUAUUUCCGGGACAUUAUUCUCCUUCUGCUCCACCUUCACACAUGCCUUUACCACCAUUCUUGGAGUAAAGGUUACACCUUUUGACCUCCAUUUGAAGAGUUGAACUGAACUUGAGAUGGGUUUUGGUCCCCUGGGACUGAAGAAGAAGAAAGAGUUGGGGCGAGAUAGAGAAGAGGGAGGCGAUAGCAGCUUCAUGGCCAUGAGCUUGUGAGCUUGUGGUUAAACUGAUUGGCGGGUAUGUAUGUCUG